CAAGUCGUACGGUGUAGCAAUACACAGUGGCGAACGGGUGAGUAAUGAAUCGCUAAUGUACCCCGGACGCUGGGAUAGCUGACCGAAAGGGCAGGUAAUACCAGAUGACAUAACCCUUCCGCAUGGUUGGGUUCUCAAAGGUCCGCCGGUCUGGGAGCAGGCGAUUUUGUAUCAGCUAGUUGGUGAGGUAACGGCUCACCAAGGCGACGACGCAUAGCCGGACUGAGAGGUUGGCCGGCCACAUUGGGACUGAGACACUGCCCAGACUCCUACGGGGGGCUGCAGUAACGAAUCUUCCGCAAUGCACGAAAGUGUGACGGAGCGACGCCGCGUGUGGGACGAAGUUCUUCGGAAUGUAAACCACUGUCAGGGGUAAGAAAGUUCUGAUCUACCCCAGAGGAAGGCACGGCUAACUCUGUGCCAGCAGCCGCGGUAAGACAGAGGUGCCGAGCGUUAGGCGGAAUCACUGGGCUUAAAGCGUGUGUAGGCGGACUUCUAAGUACCUUGUGAAAUCCCAUGGCUCAACCAUGGAACUGCUUGGUAUACUGGUUGUCUUGAGCCACUUAGGGGCAGUCGGAACAGAUGGUGGAGCGGUGAAAUGCGUAGAUAUCAUCUGGAACGCCAAAGGUGAAAACAGACUGCUGGGAGUGUGCUGACGCUGAGACACGAAAGCUAGGGGAGCGAACGGGAUUAGAUACCCCGGUAGUCCUAGCCGUAAACGAUGUCGACUAGAUCGUGGUACCUCUGACGGUUUCACGGUCGAAGCAAAAGUGCUAAGUCGACCGCCUGGGAAGUACGGUCGCAAGGCUAAAACUCAAAGGAAUUGACGGGGGCUCACACAAGCGGUGGAGCAUGUGGUUUAAUUCGAAGCAACGCGCAGAACCUUACCUGGGCUUGACAUGCUAGGAUUAUCUC
rnacentral:rRNA from 1 species